rnacentral:ncRNA from 1 species
GCAAUAGAGGCGCGGUGAAGAUCAGUAGCCCCAUGGAGGUCCGGCAGGAGCUGUGAGAUGGGAGGAAAGGAUUUACCGCCGAAACGAAGGAAACCUGCCGGUUUUAUUCGUUGGGAUGCAGUCUAAGAGGCUGCAUACUCUCACUGUAAAGUGGAGGCGCUAU